GGUAGCAGUCCUAUCCCUUGAAGGUCAAUUUCCAUCAACCAACCAUCCCUUCAUAAAUCAAAGCGUGUUGGGGCACCCCAGACUUGACUUUCUAUCCUAUUCAGGGUUACUUGUUUUGUUGUCUUCUUUUCAGUUGGUCCUCAAAAGUAAUCCGUUUUUCUGCAGGAACUCUAAACUAUAAAGGUCAUUAGGUUAACAUUAAAAGUACCACUGACAGCAGAAGCAUGUCUACAAAAUACCACAUGGUACCACAAGCAGAACAUUAUUGGAAAGUCCAUUCCAGAACAAUACAGAGCACAAAAAGAGUGAAUAUAAAGAAGCUUAAAAGCUUUUUGAAGCCACUGGGAACAAUCAUUAGGGGACUGGAUCAAAGUGCCAUCAGGAAGCUGAUGACACUCAGCUUUUUGCAAUGUCUGAAUCACAAGAGACUCUGCAAGUCUUGGAUGCAGUGUUGUAUAACUUUUCAUCUCAACUGGAGCAUGGGGACUUAGGUGAACAAUGUUACUUGUCUCAUUUAGCAUGCUUCAAGUCAGAAACAUCUCUUCUAUAAGUGGGACUGCUUUUUGAUUCAAUCCUCUAUCUGCAACUCAUAUCAAGAUACUAUGUCUCAAACUUUGGAAGGAAGCCACCCCACUGAUCAUUUACAGAAGAAAUAGGGCGGCUGCUGAAAUUGCUGGAGGAAAAGGCCUGCCAAAGGAAUGGUAAAUAACAGGCCCCAACACACCAUCCGGGGGAAAUGGGUUACUUUAGAUUCCCAGAUCAGAGGCUGGAAACUGAACUCCAAUCCUGGAGCUGCACUGAUUGCAAUGACUGUUCUCCAAUCCUGGAGCUGCACUGCACUGAUCUGCACUGACUGUUCACUUCAUUCUCACAGUGAGAGGGUGAUGGCGAUGAAUGAACCAUGCCAACUGCCUGAGACUGAAAAAGUGACCUCAGAAGGGUGUACAGAGAGCUGCAAGUGGGGUGGGGACAAGAGACUGGGGCUGCCAGGCUGAGGUACUUUGAAGCUGACCCAUCUGCGUUCCCUCCCCCUCUGAAGCCCCUUAGCUGCCACCACACCUUCUCCUUUGUACUGGGUUCUGCUGCUGUGUAUGAAUUCCAUACUUUAUGGAAUGUAUGUGCUGCACAUAAUACUUUAUGGGACCUCAAGUAGUCAGCAGCAUACCAGCUGAUUUUGGGGGCUCAUAUGUGAAUUCAGCCUUUACUGGUGCCAAUAUAUUGGGUUAGGUGAUCUCUUUGUGUUGUGGGCACACCUGACAAUAGAAGAAACUGUCCAGGUCAUCACUAUGCAAUGGCUACUAUGGGAGAUCUGACAGAGGAAAAAGAACCUGCGUGAGUAUAAUGUAGCAGUAUUAAAAUUAAAAAAGUAACUAUAACAAUGUACAAGGAAGAGAUAAAAUUAAUUUAACACAGUUUUCUACUACUGAAAAAAUAAAAGCUGCAUUAUGAAAGCUUACCUUAUGAUUGUAAGAAUCUGCAACAUAAAGGAGGUUUCUUUUCUUGUC